GAUGAACGCUGGCGGCGUGCCUAAUACAUGCAAGUCGAGCGAACAGACGAGGAGCUUGCUCCUCUGACGUUAGCGGCGGACGGGUGAGUAACACGUGGAUAACCUACCUAUAAGACUGGGAUAACUUUGGGAAACCGGAGCUAAUACCGGAUAAUAUAUUGAACCGCAUGGUUCAAUAGUGAAAGACGGUUUUGCUGUCACUUAUAGAUGGAUCCGCGCCGCAUUAGCUAGUUGGUAAGGUAACGGCUUACCAAGGCAACGAUGCGUAGCCGACCUGAGAGGGUGAUCGGCCACACUGGAACUGAGACACGGUCCAGACUCCUACGGGAGGCAGCAGUAGGGAAUCUUCCGCAAUGGGCGAAAGCCUGACGGAGCGACGCCGCGUGAGUGAUGAAGGUCUUCGGAUCGUAAAACUCUGUUAUUAGGGAAGAACAAAUGUGUAAGUAACUAUGCACGUCUUGACGGUACCUAAUCAGAAAGCCACGGCUAACUACGUG
rnacentral:rRNA from 1 species